ACCUAUCGACAUAAUUCAAAUCCCAAACAAAAAUUAAUUAAUUUUGAAUCACUAAUUUCUAUCAGAUCGCAGAGAAAGAGAUGAACUUACUGCCUCAAAACAUAUUUCAUAUAAAAAGAUUCUCCAUUCAUAACAAAGAGGAAAAGGGAGCACUCAAAGUACUCAUUCAUGAUUAGUUUUCAUCCUCACUUAGGUUAAAUUUGAAGCAGUACAUUAGCACCAAAUCACAAAGAGAAAAAGAAUGUUGAGCAACAUUUCCAUUAGCAUGUGAUCUCAGAUAAUUUCAUUCAUGUAUUACUAAUGACAUGGGAACUUGGAUGCAUA
rnacentral:misc_RNA from 1 species